AGAACGAACGCUGGCGGCAUGCCUAAUACAUGCAAGUCGAACGAACUCUUCGGAGUUAGUGGCGCACGGGUGCGUAACGCGUGGGAAUCUGCCCCUUGGUUCGGAAUAACAGUUGGAAACGACUGCUAAUACCGGAUGAUGACGAAAGUCCAAAGAUUUAUCGCCAAGGGAUGAGCCCGCGUAGGAUUAGCUAGUUGGUGAGGUAAAGGCUCACCAAGGCAACGAUCCUUAGCUGGUCUGAGAGGAUGAUCAGCCACACGUGGGACUGAGACACCGGCCCAGCUCCGUACGGGAGCAGCAGGUAGGGAAUAUGGACAAGUGGGCGAAAGCCUAGAUCCAGCAAUGCCG
rnacentral:rRNA from 1 species